rnacentral:rRNA from 1 species
AUUGAACGCUGGCGGCAUGCCUUACACAUGCAAGUCGAACGAAGAUGCCGGAGUGCUUGCACUUUGGCAGACUGAGUGGCGGACGGGUGAGUAACGCGUGGGUAACCUGCCUUAUACAGGGGGAUAACAGUUGGAAACGACUGCUAAUACCGCAUAAGCGCACGGUAUCGCAUGAUACAGUGUGAAAAACUCCGGUGGUAUAAGAUGGACCCGCGUCUGAUUAGCUGGUUGGUGAGGUAACGGCUCACCAAGGCGACGAUCAGUAGCCGGCCUGAGAGGGUGAACGGCCACAUUGGGACUGAGACACGGCCCAAACUCCUACGGGAGGCAGCAGUGGGGAAUAUUGCACAAUGGGGGAAACCCUGAUGCAGCGACGCCGCGUGAGUGAUGAAGUAUUUCGGUAUGUAAAACUCUAUCAGCAGGGAAGAUAAUGACGGUACCUGACUAAGAAGCACCGGCUAAAUACGUGCCAGCAGCCGCGGUAA